ACGACCCAACCUAGCUCGCCCUCUUCCUCACUCCUCUCCUCUGCUCCGCCGCCACCGCCACUUUCGCUCUCUCUCUCACUUCCUACAUAUGUGCGUGCGUUGAUCUUAGGAAUACAUAUGUGCGUGAGUUGCCUGCUGGAAUUAGUCGGCUCACUACACUACGACACCUAAUCGGAUUUAUGACCUGCGUGAGUUGCCUGCAGCUACCAAAAGGGAUUGGGGGCAUGAGGAACUUACAGCUGAUGCCAAGAUUUAUUAUUACCUCGCAAGAAACAGAUGUGUUGGAGGAUCUCGGGAACCUGACAAGUUUGGAGGAACUCAAUGUGAAUCUUGGUAAUCAAGUAUCUAGCGAGGACAAGAGAUGUGAAAAAGAGGCGUUCCUCUCCUCACUGUGGAAGCUUGGCACCUGCAAACUCCGGUCUUUGGAUAUAGAUGCGUUCUGUGGUUCCCUCGACUUCUUAGAUUCUUGGUCCCCUAUGCCAUCUUUUCUUCAAACUGAAGCUGCUUCUGGAUUACUAAAAUUCACAUGUUCUGAUGUGUUUUCCUUUUGAUGCCCAGGAUAUAUUGUGUGGCUGGAGCUUGCUUGCUUGGAAGGUUCAGGCGACAACAUGAAAAACUGAAGCUGAAAACAGAUAUAUACUUGCCUCCUAAAAAUGGUGGUCUCGAGAUUCUCUCAACUGGACGUUGCUACUUGCUAUAUACACUGUGUUUGAUUUCCUCCGUUUCUUACUUUGAUGAUUCAGACCUAAACUCUAUCACUUCUGAAUACCUAGGCUGUUGUUGUUAAUUCGCUUAUACUCGGUUCCCUGUAAGCUCCAUUUGCAUUCAGGGUCAUUUUUUUUGCUGAACACUUGAUUUGUGUUUCCCUUGUUCCAUAAAAAGGUUUUGUUGAAUUACUGCAGGUGUUUGUAGAGGCCGCGCGCCUUCUGGCCGAGAAUGCCGAGAAGAGGCCGCGCGCCUUGUGGCCGCUUGUAGGUGUUUCAGUUCAGGGUACUCUGUUUCCUCUCCUCUGCUCUUGGUAACCAAGGCCAUCAAAGAAGUUCGUUGGUACAGAGUCCAAGCCACUUCUUUCCCAAUUCUGAAGGUCUUCGGCUUGCAAAGAACUCAACAAGUAUAUGUUUCGUUCGUGAAAGGGUCUGCGCCCAAGCUUCAGGAACUUAGCAACAUGCCAUUCAGUGUGUCGGCUGCCAAAGCUAAUAAAUUCUAUUAAGGCAUUCAUCAUCUCCCAUGUCUCAAACGAGCUUACAUAUGGCUUGAUGACGAAGGUGCGACACCUUCAGAAAGCAAGGCUGCAGCUGCUGCCAAUCCCAACCAUCCUCAAGUUACUUUUCGGGGGAAACCAGCUGAGGGAGAGGACGAUGAAGAGAGCGGUGGUAGUGGCGAGGAGAAGAGCAAGGAAGAUGGUGACGCCGAUGAGCGAAGGAGACAUGAUGCUAGUUAAUCUCAACUCAAGCUGAAACAGAAGUCGCUACUACAUGCACUCUGUUUGAUUACAUCCGUCCCUUACUUUGAGGAUUCAGAUUUCAGCUCUGUUUUUGCUAAUAAUUAAGGAAGCCCCUGUCGGAACUUGGAGUCUGAAGCCCUAAGCUCUAUUAAAUUCGGGAAUAAUUUGUCUGAAUGCUUGAAUGUUCCAAGUCAAAGGACUCCAUCUGUAUGUGGUAUGCACGUACUUGUGUUGGAGUGUUAAUCACAUAUACUGAGCCUCGGUUAGUAGAUUAUAUUAUAGGAACAUGUAGUAUUUUGUUUCGGCAGUUAACUCUUGUAAUCUCUAUUUGCGUCCAGGAUUAUUUACGCUGAAUACUUUCUAAUGAUGGACAUGUAUUGUUGA